GGACGCUCUCAGCUCUCGGCGCACGGCCCAGGUUAUCUUGUAGCAUAGCAACUUCGGAUUUCACUCUACCCGGAGAGUUUCCCGCUUGGUUGAACACAUUGGCCUCAGGAAGAGACGCUCUUCUGGCUCUUCCGUGACGCAUUACAACAGCCAUCCAGGCCGGUCCAGUUACGCUGCAUUCCUUCCUCCUUCCCAUUUCGGCGGACCUGCAUCCAGCUAGAGACUAGCAGAUUGAAUCGAUAUUCAUUAAGUUAGGAAUGGUUGGUGGUCCUAAGAGCCUCAGCAACCGAGAGGAGUCUUGUUAUUUAAAAAACAACGAUACUGGGCGUGGUCGUGGGCCUGUAGUCCCAGCUGCUCAAGCUAGUGGAUCUCUUGAGUCCAAGGCCAAUGCGGCCAGGCCCUGUUGAAAAUACAAUAUGUGGGCCAUAAAACACUGAAAUUGAGUUGCAGACUUGAAGGCCUGGAUUUCCCAACCCUGAAAGUGCUUCAUGCCAAGUGACAUCAUUCUUCCUGCCGGUCUCUUUCCACCCACUCCAACCCCAGAUCAGGAUACCAGCAGAGAGAGGCUGUGAGAGCAUGAAGCUGCAACAAGUCAGUAGGGAGCAAACAAAUAUUGAUUCAGAUCAGGCCACAGAAGAGACAAGCUGGAGCAAGUGCUGUGUGUCCCUCCUGCUCAGUUUGAUCGAGGUCACUGGGCCGAAUUCCAGGAAUUCUGGGGAAUGAGUUGGCCCUG
rnacentral:lncRNA from 10 species